GGCUCCCAAAGGCACGUGUCAUUGGCUAAGUCCGUUCGGCGGAAGCGCCGUUUGGACCGCCUUGAAUUAUAAUUACCACCGAGCGGCAGGGGGGAAUCAUUUUCU